rnacentral:rRNA from 1 species
UGCCAGCCGCCGCGGUAAUACGAACCGUCCAAACGUUAUUCGGUAUCACUGGGCUUAAAGCGUGCGUAGGCGGCUUGGUAGGUGAGAUGUGAAAGCCCACGGCUCAACCGUGGAAUUGCGUUUCAAACCCCCAAGCUCGAGGAAGAUAGGGGUGAUGGGAACUUAUGGUGGAGCGGUGAAAUGCGUUGAUAUCAUAGGGAACACCAGUGGCGAAGGCGGCUUACUGGGUCUCUACUGACGCUGAGGCACGAAAGCUAGGGUAGCGAACAGGAUUAGAUA